rnacentral:rRNA from 1 species
UGGGGAAUUUUGGACAAUGGGCGAAAGCCUGAUCCAGCAAUGCCGCGUGUGUGAAGAAGGCCUUCGGGUUGUAAAGCACUUUUGUCCGGAAAGAAAUCCUUGGCUCUAAUACAGUCGGGGGAUGACGGUACCGGAAGAAUAAGCACCGGCUAACUACGUGCCAGCAGCCGCGGUAAUACGUAGGGUGCAAGCGUUAAUCGGAAUUACUGGGCGUAAAGCGUGCGCAGGCGGUUUGCUAAGGCCGAUGUGAAAUCCCCGGGCUCAACCUGGGAACUGCAUUGGUGACUGGCAGGCUAGAGUAUGGCAGAGGGGGGUAGAAUUCCACGUGUAGCAGUGAAAUGCGUAGAGAUGUGGAGGAAUACCGAUGGCGAAGGCAGCCCCCUGGGCCAAGUACUGACGCUCAUGCACGAAAGCGUGGGGAGCAAACAGGAUUAGAUACCCUGGUAGUCCACGCCCUAAAACGAUGUCAACUAGUUGUUGGGGAUUCAUUUCCUUAGUAACGUAGCUAACGCGUGAAGUUGACCGCCUGGGGAGUACGGUCGCAAGAUUAAAACUCAAAUGAAUUGAC